rnacentral:rRNA from 1 species
GACGGAGGGGGCGAGCGUUGUCCGGAAUUACUGGGCGUAAAGCGCGCGCAGGCGGUCGGGAAAGUUGGGUGUGAAAGCCCCCGGCUCAACCGGGGGAGGGCCCUGCAAACUCGGCGACUGGAGCGGCGGAGAGGCCCCUCGAAUUCCCGGUGUAGCGGUGAAAUGCGUAGAUAUUCGGAGGAAGACCAAUGGGGAAGGCGGGGGGCUGGCCGCUGGCUGACGCUGAGGCGCGAAAGCGUGGGGAGCGAACAGG